GAUGAACGCUGGCGGCGUGCCUAAUACAUGCAAGUCGAGGGGCAGCACAGGUAACAAUACUGGGUGGCGACCGGCAAACGGGUGCGGAACACGUACACAACUUACCUUAGAGUGGGGGAUAGCCCAGGGAAACUUGGAUUAAUACCCCAUAAAACAGGGGGCCCGCAUGGGCAUAUUGUUAAAGAUUUAUCGCUGUAAGAUGGGCGGUCCGUUAGACUAGGUAGUGGGUAGGGUUAAGGCCAACCAAGCCGACGAUCAUUAACUGGUGUGAGAGCACGACCAGUCACACGGGCACGGAGACACGGGCCCCGCUCCUACGGAAGGCAGCAGUAAGGAAUAUUGGUCAAUGGACGGAAGUCUGAACCAGCCAUGCGGCGUGAAGGAUGAAGGUCCUCUGGAUUGUAAACUUCUUUUAUAGGGGGCGAAAAAGGGCCUUUUUAGGUCAACUGACGGUACCCUAUGAAUAAGCACCGGCUAACUCCGUGCCAGCCGCCGCCGUAA
rnacentral:rRNA from 1 species